UUUACUUCUCGGCUUUUUGGCUAAGAUCAAGUGUAGAAUUGAUUUUUUUUAGUUCUUUGAAAAAACGCAAAGGGUAUUUUUAUUAGAAUUGCAUUAAAUCUAUGCAUCAUUUUGGUGAUGUGGCCAUUGUGGAUACCAGUUCUGGCCUAUCCAAGAACAGAGGAUGUCUUUCUACUUCCUAGUGUCUUCUCUAGUAUCU